GUCCCUGGGAGCCGCCUCUCCCUCGGGCACCUGCGGGAGCAGGAGUGAGGCUCAGGGAGAUGUGUCUGCCCCCGGGAUAUUUCCUCUUGCGGAUUUGUUUCCCCAGGGCAGCCACAGCAGCCAUGGCAUUACCCUGCACGGCCUGCCGGGGCCGACCAGGCGGUGCCACCGAAGCUCUAAGGGGGCUGUGAUGGAGAUCGAAUCCUGCCUGCACCAGUGCCAGAAGCAGAGAACCACAGCACUGCACAACCCUCCUGCCAUAUUUUUUUUUGCCUUUUCUUGCUAAGAAACAAUUUAGCAAGAGAACAAGCAAACAAGAGAGAGACUAUGCAAGCUGGUAGCAUCACAAUAAUGCCAAGUUUUCUGUUUUCUGGAGCAAUUCUAAUGCUUCUGUAACAUCUGGGGAUGGCACGGCCUGCAUUACUGAUGAAGCUGGAUAUUUUUUCUUCUACCUUUUUCUUCAUCGAAGAACAAUUAUUGCACUUGCAUAUUUCACUGCUUCUGCCCCCUCCCACACAUUUUCCUCCUGACUACUUCUGUCCUGAUGACCUCUUUGAAGACGGUUAAAAUAAUAUUCCAGGCUGACAGAAGAACCAGAAAGGGAGAUUGUGAUUGAGGCUAAAAAAGAUACCCCUUGUGUUUAUUGGAGUGUGGACAAAAAAUGUGCUUGUUCAAUGAAGAAAAAAGAAAAAUUAGGUUCCCUCAAAAGAAGAAAAAGGACCUAGAACACUUUGUUAUUAGUCACCACUAAUGGCAUGCUGUCUUAAAUUGUCCCAGAAUUGAAAGAGAAUGUCAUCUUGCUUCUACUUACUCUGAUAAAAUAAUUGACUAUUACUCUUUGUGUGACAGCAUUAAACACCAGGAACAGUGAAAUCCUGCUUUUCUGAUUUAUUUAUUGCCAAUUAUGGAAUUUUAUUCUAAUAUACAGUGCCACUGAGGACAGGCUGGGUCAAUUUCAUUUAGAUAUAACCUCAAAAAACGUUUUACAAUAAUAAAAACCUAUUAAAUUCUGAUGACUAACCUA